rnacentral:rRNA from 1 species
GACGAACGCUGGCGGCGUGCUUAACACAUGCAAGUCGAACGGAAAGGCCCUGCUUUUGUGGGGUGCUCGAGUGGCGAACGGGUGAGUAACACGUGAGUAACCUGCCCUUGACUUUGGGAUAACUUCAGGAAACUGGGGCUAAUACCGGAUAGGAGCUCCUGCUGCAUGGUGGGGGUUGGAAAGUUUCGGCGGUUGGGGAUGGACUCGCGGCUUAUCAGCUUGUUGGUGGGGUAGUGGCUUACCAAGGCUUUGACGGGUAGCCGGCCUGAGAGGGUGACCGGACACAUUGGGACUGAGAUACGGCCCAGACUCCUACGGGAGGCAGCAGUGGGGAAUAUUGCACAAUGGGCGGAAGCCUGAUGCAGCAACGCCGCGUGCGGGAUGACAGCCUUCGGGUUGUAAACCGCUUUCGCCUGUGACGAAGCGUGAGUGACGGUAAUGGGUAAAGAAGCACCGGCUAACUACGUG